AUUGAAUGCUGGCGGCAUGCCUAACACAUGCAAGUCGAACGAGAGGCGGACGGGGGAGUAAUGUCUGGGAAACUGCCCGAUGGAGCUGGAUCACUACCGGAAACGGUAGCCAAUACCGCAUAUCACCGGAUGUGUCCAGAUGGGAUUAGUUAGUAGGUGGUGAAAUGGCGCACCUAGGCGACGAUCCCUAGCUGGUCUGCGAGGAUGACGAGCCAGACUGGAACGGAGACACGGUCCAGGAUCCUACGGGGGGAAGCUGUGGGGAAUAUUGCUGAAUGGGUGGAAGCCUGUAGUAGCCCUGCCGAGCGUAUGAAGAAGGCCUACGGGUUGUAAAGUACUUUCAGUGGGGAGGCGGUAGCCGCAGAAGAAGCACCGGCUAACUCCGUGCGAGCGGCGGGGUAAUAC
rnacentral:rRNA from 1 species